UGGGUCUGCUUUCUUGACAGUAAUGUUCUCAAGCUUGAUUUCCAGGCUCAGAGGAUGGACGGUUUUCUCCAGCACCAGAAGAAUUGGAUCAGGAUCAGAGCAGAACAUUUUACGCUGGAUUUCUUGGAGGUCUUGCUCUGCCGUCAGCCAAAUCAGCUCCUCUUCAAGUGAACAAACAAGAGCUGGAGGAGGGUUUGGUGUAUGCCAUUGGAAUUUUAACAGCAAGCCAGCGUGUGGAGACCCAGAGAGGGGAGCCGGAUAAGAGGUUCGACACGCCAGAUCCGCCGCUCCCGUCGGGACGGA